rnacentral:tmRNA from 1 species
CCACUUCACAUUAAUCCGCGAACCCUUAUAUAGGGUCUCGCCGGUUUCGGCCGGCUAUGGCGAUAAAUUGCGGUGUGCAAUAGGCACAACGGACCCGGGGGCAGUACCCGGCGGCUCCACCACCAGAGGCGUACGCAACGCCGUUGAUGAUGGGGCCGAACCAGGAUCGACGUGUGUUGAAAAGCACUGUUUUCGCCCGGGCUGAGUAACCCGUUAAAGGCUCAAAACUCACAAGUGCCAACGACAACGAAGCACUUGCUCUCGCUGCGUAAUGUGACGGCCUAACGGCCUGAAUUUACAAAGCUAAGAGCACGGUUCGGACCGAACCGGGUAACAGAAUCGGAAACC